GGGCACCAGGCAGCUUCAUUAGCCACUGUGACAUUUAUCUGAUCCACCGCCGCGUCUCCAUGGCAACCCUCAGAUGCAAACACGGCAACGCGUACCGCCGAAAUCACAUGGCCUCACGUGGACCCAGACCCACAGACCCAGGUCCUCCAGCAGGGACCAGUCCACCAUAAACAGACCCAGGUCCUCCAGCAGGGACCAGUCCACCAUAAACAGACCCAGGUCCUCCAGCAGGGACCAGUCCACCAUAAACAGACCCAGGUCCUCCAGCGGGGACCAGUCCACCAUAAACAGACCCAGGUCCUCCAGCAGAGACCAGUCCACCAUAAACAGACCCAGGUCCUCCAGCAGGGACCAGCCCACCAUAAACAGACCCAGGUCCUCCAGCAGAGACCAGUCCACCGUGGACAGACCCAGGUCCUCCAACAGGGACCGGUCCACCAUAAACAGACCCAGGUCCUCCGGCAGGGACCAGUCCACCGUGGACAGAUCCAGGUCCUCCAGCAGGGACCGGUCCACCAUAAACAGACCCCGGUCCUCCAGC
ensembl:lncRNA